rnacentral:rRNA from 1 species
AUGGAGAAGGCGCUCCAUUCAUGGAUAAAGAAAGAGGCGAAAGUGGCAGAGGAUGCAGAUUCGGAUCUACCAAGAGAUAAGAGAAAUAAAUCGAAAGCAAUGAUUUGGACCAGAGACAACUUCGAGCUGAUGAGGAAAUCUUUUGAGGGGCGAAACAUGGAGCGCGCAGUCACGGGAGGCGGAUCCAUCACUCCAUUAGCAUCUGCAGGGCGAGAGGUAUGUAGAAAGGGGGCGGAUCCGGUCGUAGCUGUAGUAAAAUUUUCGGGAGUAUCUGAGGAAGGAGAUCACGUGGUGGUAUGUACCAAGGAAAGAGAUCAGGGCAACGGGAUCCCAAUCAAAAACUUCAAGCGGAAACAUAUUACAGUAGGAAAUCAUGGUCCUCAACAUGCAAAAAUACUGAGAGACGGAGCACACAAUUGUGGUAAGGAUGAAUCAGACCUUAUCAAUCACACAGAUCCGCCAGAUAAAGGAAAGAAUACACAACUGAUAGGAGGAAAACAAAAAAUCUGCAUCGAUCAUCAUUUGCCCGCGAUUGGAAGAAUAUUGUUGAACGUACCUUUGUGA